GAUGAACGCUGGCGGCGUGCCUAAUACAUGCAAGUCGAGCGAACAGACGAGGAGCUUGCUCCUCUGACGUUAGCGGCGGACGGGUGAGUAACACGUGGAUAACCUACCUAUAAGACUGGGAUAACUUCGGGAAACCGGAGCUAAUACCGGAUAACAUGUUGAACCGCAUGGUUCAACAGUGAAAGACGGUUUUGCUGUCACUUAUAGAUGGAUCCGCGCCGCAUUAGCUAGUUGGUAAGGUAACGGCUUACCAAGGCAACGAUGCGUAGCCGACCUGAGAGGGUGAUCGGCCACACUGGAACUGAGACACGGUCCAGACUCCUACGGGAGGCAGCAGUAGGGAAUCUUACGCGAUGGGCGAAAGCCUGACGGAGCAACGCCGCGUGAGUGAAGAAGGUCUUCGGAUCGUAAAACUCUGUUAUUAGGGAAGAACAAAUGUGUAAGUAACUAUGCACGUCUUGACGGUACCUAAUCAGAAAGCCACGGCUAACUACGUG
rnacentral:rRNA from 1 species